UGGCCACCGCGCCCGCGCCCCUCAGUUUUCCGCGCGCACCGCCGGGUCUGCGGCCCCAGCUCUAGCACUAACCCUAGUCCAAGCCACAUUUUUCUUCCUCUGUCAGCAGGGACAGAAAUCUCAGCCUUGUCUUCUGCAGAGGGCGAGGAGGAUGAAGCAGAGCACAAUAAAUGCCAUAGUGCUCCGAAAUUUUGGAAAACUGAAUGUGCCGUAAUUUGUCAACAGUUACCAUUUUUCUAAGCCUGAUACCCAGAGGGAAUAAAGUCCGAGCCCUUGCUGGGCGGUGGGGAUAAGUGUGGGUGAGAAGAUGGGUGCGGAAUGCAGCGAGGAAUCUGGAUCACUUGAAAACUGGGCGUGUAGUGAGUGUGCUUUGGAAGUUAGAUCUUUAUUUCAUUCAUUUAUUCAUUCGUUCGCUCAUCUUUAUUGAACACUGGUCAUAUUGAAUUGCCGGGUCUCAUUUGGGAGGAAAAGGAACAGAAUAGGCCGGAUAUGGCCUUGAUACUAGGAAUUUUGGGCCUGUCAAGGAUGUUUUUUUCAAAUUCAAAGAGCCUAAGUGCCUAUAUGUGGUGUUUAGACAACAGAGGGUCUGUCUCUGCGUUUAGGGCAACAAAGGACUCACAAUCUCCCUCUCACCAGACACCUUAUCCCCCUACUCUAUGGCUGUCAUUUCCAUGGAGGAGGUGUCUCAGAAGGGGAAAGGGAAGAGGAAGGAUUUGUCAAAAUUAAGAGAAGGAACAAUGGUGUGAGUCAGGACCCCAGUUCUGCAAAGAAGAUAAAUAAGGAGAGAAAGGAGAGUUUUUCUCUUGCCAGGAGGCAUGUCCUGUGGUUGUGCAGAAUUAAAAAGUAUGUGUAUCACAACGGAUGGUCAAAUGUAGAGGAACAAGUGACUGAUGUUUCCCUGAGGCUUGAAAACUGUGGGGGCACCAGGAGGAAUCUUUAGCUCUAACCCAUGAUCUUCAUCUGCUCCCCCAAAUCCUCAUAACCAUAGAUGAAAGACACAAUUUGGCAAAGUGAGAACUAUGUGCAGCUUUAGCUUUUGUUAUGGGAUGAUUUACAUUUUAUUUCUCUUUUGAGAAGUGUGAGUUGAAAAUUUUGCUAUUUUCAUUAAUAAGUGACAUUCCUGGGUGCCUAUGAUGAAAUGCGACUUCAGGACAAGGUCCCUAGCUCUCCCCUGUCCAUCAAACUCUGCCUAAGCCAUUCCUGUACAGAAAUUGUGAGGCCACCACCUGCUGGAAAAGAUGUUCCUUAAGGACCCUGAGCCCAGGGGAGUAUAUCAGCCUAGGUCUCGCAGAUGCUUUGGAAUUCUUUUGGGUCAGUUCACAGCUUUCUUUCUCCGAUUCUGUAACAGUGUCUGGUAACUACUAAUCUCCCCAUUCUCCAGCUAAGGAAAUGGAAACCUGGGAAAGUUAAAUGAUGUGUCUAGGUCAGUGGUGGUGGCAGGGAACUACCAGUGCUUGGAGUGGGCAGUGCCUUUGAGUUAGGGAGGUGACUCGGUAGGUGAUCCAUCGAGGCCUCUCUGGACUGUUGCCCUGCAGGCGUCCAGCUGCUGUCCUCCCCCCAUCUUUGCAUUCCCCAUCCUUUAAGAUGCCUUGCCAUUUAUGCACUGACAAGCCCUGAGCAAAACGGAAAUAUAAUAGAAUGUAACAUUUCCAACUGUUCAAAGUCUAUUCCUCUUUCAGAGCCCCACUGCAAUGUUACGUUCUCCAGAAAGGCACCCAGGAUUCCCUUGGCUCUCAUUAGUCUAUCCUCUUUGGAUGCACAGCACCUUGUUAGGUCUGCUAGCGCACUCACCCCAACCAGCCUAUACUCAGUACUCAGUUCUAUACUUACGAUGCCAUGAUUCCUUGAGAGCAGCAGCCUAUCCUAUUUAUCACGAUGCCCAAAGUUGAGUUCAAAUAGAUGUUCAGUAGUGUUUGUGCCCUUUCUGGUCCAGCCUCUAGCUGUCAUGCAGUCUGGGGCAGUACCUGAGAAUCCUCAGGAGACCGUGGUUCAAUUUUGGAAACACACAUUGAGAGAAAUUAAUGUGAGAUGUGAUGACAGGUAAAAUUAAUGUGACAUCCCCACCCCCACCCCAAAGUGUAUUCAUGUUGGAGUUUGGAGCUGAGCUGACGCUUAGGGAGGGAGACUGUUAGAAUCAGUCCAGAAUUUACGGAUCAUCCACGCUGGGGUACUCAAUCCUGGCUGCACAUCAGAAUCAUAUGGGGAGCUCUAAAAAAAACUACUGCCAGUCUCCCUGUCCCCUUCUUUCUUGAGCUGAAUUUUGAAGGAGGGACCCAACUAUAGGUGUUUCUAAACAAUCUCCAAAUGUGUCAGAUGUCAGGCAGGGUUGAGAACCCCUGAGCCCAAACCCCUAAUGGCACUGAUGGAACUGUGUCCUGCUUGCAGAGAAGCCAGCCUGCACUAUGUGCUUGGCUCCUACAUGCAGCCCCAAGUGCGUGGGCCUGGCUGGCCCGACUUUUCUUGCAGCUGUUCCCCGGGCAUUCCAGCCUCGGAUGUAAUUUCAGGACCUGCCUCCCAAAAUAGACUCUGAGCUCCUGGAGACCAUAUUCUGAGGGUGCUGUUCCAGGUGCUGUGAAUGCAUCCAAGAAGAACAAAACCAGAUCCCCGAUCUUUUGGAGGCCAAACAUCUUAUUUUCUUGAAGGUUGGCUCUCUUGCGUCUCCAAUUGGUGAAUUUCUAUCUGCUUCCCCUGGCUUCCCAGCCAGAAAACCGAGUCUCUCUCUCUCUUCUUUCUCCCUCAUUCCUCCCAUGUCUCUUCAGCUGAUCCCUUCCCCCUUCUCUUCUUCCUCUUUCUUUUAUCUCCUGGGGAGCCUGGGAGAUCAAGACUGGAGACACUUGUGAGGGGCAGACUUGAUUCACCUAUGUUGGGAAGGUGGGCUUCAGGGCACUGAAUUCCUCCGAAUUUAGCUUUUAAAACAUUAAAACUGUCUUUAAAGCAUUGAAAA